UGGGGAAUAUUGCACAAUGGGCGCAAGCCUGAUGCAGCCAUGCCGCGUGUGUGAAGAAGGCCUUCGGGUUGUAAAGCACUUUCAGCGAGGAGGAAGGUGGUGAGCUUAAUACGCUCAUCAAUUGACGUUACUCGCAGAAGAAGCACCGGCUAACUCCGUGCCAGCAGCCGCGGUAAUACGGAGGGUGCAAGCGUUAAUCGGAAUUACUGGGCGUAAAGCGCACGCAGGCGGUUUGUUAAGUCAGAUGUGAAAUCCCCGGGCUCAACCUGGGAACUGCAUUUGAAACUGGCAAGCUAGAGUCUCGUAGAGGGGGGUAGAAUUCCAGGUGUAGCGGUGAAAUGCGUAGAGAUCUGGAGGAAUACCGGUGGCGAAGGCGGCCCCCUGGACGAAGACUGACGCUCAGGUGCGAAAGCGUGGGGCAGCAAACAGGAUUAGAUACCCUGGUAGUCCACGCUGUAAAACGAUGUCGAUUUUGGAGGUUGUGCCCUUGAGGCGUGGCUUCCGGAGCUAACGCGUUAAAUCGACCGCCUGGGGAGUACGGCCGCAAGGUUAAAACUCAAAUGAAUUGCGGGUCUAGCUG
rnacentral:rRNA from 1 species